UACAGAGGUCUCAAGCGUUGUUCGGAUUCAUUGGGCGUAAAGGGUGCGUAGGUGGCGCUGUAAGUCGGGUGUGAAAUUUCGGAGCUUAACUCCGAAACUGCAUUCGAUACUGCGGUGCUUGAGGACUGGAGAGGAGACUGGAAUUCAUGGUGUAGCAGUGAAAUGCGUAGAGAUCAUGAGGAAGACCAGUGGCGAAGGCGGGUCUCUGGACAGUUCCGUGACGUGAGGCACGAAGGCCAGGGGAGCAAACGGGG
rnacentral:rRNA from 1 species